rnacentral:rRNA from 1 species
UCGAACGAUGAACCCACUUCGGUGGGGGAUUAGUGGCGAACGGGUGAGUAACACGUGGGCAAUCUGCCCUUCACUCUGGGACAAGCCCUGGAAACGGGGUCUAAUACCGGAUAACACCGGCCUUCGCAUGGAGGCUGGUUGAAAGCUCCGGCGGUGAAGGAUGAGCCCGCGGCCUAUCAGCUUGUUGGUGGGGUAAUGGCCCACCAAGGCGACGACGGGUAGCCGGCCUGAGAGGGCGACCGGCCACACUGGGACUGAGACACGGCCCAGACUCCUACGGGAGGCAGCAGUGGGGAAUAUUGCACAAUGGGCGAAAGCCUGAUGCAGCGACGCCGCGUGAGGGAUGACGGCCUUCGGGUUGUAAACCUCUUUCAGCAGGGAAGAAGCGAAAGUGACGGUACCUGCAGAAGAAGCGCCGGCUAACUACGUGCCAGCAGCCGCGGUAAUACGUAGGGCGCAAGCGUUGUCCGGAAUUAUUGGGCGUAAAGAGCUCGUAGGCGGCUUGUCACGUCGGAUGUGAAAGCCCGGGGCUUAACCCCGGGUCUGCAUUCGAUACGGGCAGGCUAGAGUGUGGUAGGGGAGAUCGGAAUUCCUGGUGUAGCGGUGAAAUGCGCAGAUAUCAGGAGGAACACCGGUGGCGAAGGCGGAUCUCUGGGCCAUUACUGACGCUGAGGAGCGAAAGCGUGGGGAGCGAACAGGAUU